AUGAAACCUGGCCAAACACGUAAAUACAAACUCACAUGCUCCCUGACACUUUGGGUCUACACCUCUGCAGGGAACAAUUCUACAGCAUCUGCAACAGACAGAUCCACCUGUCACCUGUCAGCAACGCCCAGAGACCCUCGCAAGCCUCCCGCUUUUCAACCACAAUCUCGCGGUCCGUCUGGUGAAUCUAAGGGGGGCACCUAUUCGCAGCGGGGCGUGCUCCCCACUUCGAGGAAGGCUCGCAGAACAGCAAAAUCGGAAAGGAAAAGGAGCGAUGUGUUUCCUCUCCAACCUACACAUAACUUCCCUGGUUCUCCCUCAACUCUGGGGCCCCUAAGUCAGCUUUAUCCAGACUGGGUCCCCCCGAAAGUUGCCCGGCUCCCUCCCUCCCACCCACUUCCAGAUCGCGGGCCUGGGGGCGGGUCGGGGGGCCAGGCACCCCCACCCCGGCUCUCCCCGGCGCCGGGCUCCAGGGCAGGCCCGCUCGGUCCCCCUCCCCCGACGCCCCGGAGCCCAGGCCAAGGCCCUAUGUUCCCCGCCCCCACCCGCCCUGCAGGACUUGGGGGGCCUCCCUGCGCCUCGCCACGGCGGGCAGGACCCGGGCGGAGCGAGGAAGAAGGCGAGGAAGGCGCGGACGCCCCACUAGGGCCUCGCGCGCCGGGGAGAGCCGGUCCCCGAAGCAAGGCAGGCACGGGGAGCGGGCUGGGGGAUCCCGCCGAGGCCCGGCAGCGCCGUCCGCUUACCCUUCGCCGCCGCCGCGGCUUCCCCCUCCUCCUCGUCCGCCGCCGCCCGCCGCCUCUCCCACUUGGGCAGCCGUCUCCCCCGUCGUCGCCGCCUCCGCCUCCGCCGCUGCCGCCUCCGCCACCACGGCCGCCGCCAGCGCCGAUUCCACCCGGCAGGGGGGACACCUCAGCCCUCCCUCCCUCCCCGCUCAGCGCCCUCCGCCCGGCCGCCGCCAACUCCCUCCGGCCGCCGCCGCCGCUGCCGCCGCCGCUCGCGGCUGAGGGGGAGGGGACGGGGUCGGCCUGGGGCGCCCCGCCGCCGGCUCCUGCCGCGGAUCAAAGCGAUGGCCGGGGCGGCGUCGCCGCGGCCCGCUGCUCGGCUCCGGCUCGCACGGCCGCCCUGCCUCCCUCCGCCCCACCCCCCGGCCGCUCGCCUGCCCUCCCCCACCCCCCCAGCUCUCGCUCGCUCUCGCCGCGGCUCCGCCAGCCCAGUCCGCAUCAAAAUACGGCCACACAAUAUGGCGGCGCGGCGGCCGGCAAACACCGCGAGAUCUGCGGCCGCGGCCCAGGCGGCGGCUGUGACGAGGCUUCCCUCCGCCGGGUGGCGGGGAUGCGCUUUUCCCCGCCCCACCCCCGGCACUCGCGGUCCCCACGCCCGUCUGUCUCGCCGUGGCGGAGGGGGCGACGGCGAGUCUGGGCGCUUGCGGGCUGA
rnacentral:lncRNA from 1 species